rnacentral:misc_RNA from 1 species
AAGUCGUAACAAGGUUUCCGUAGGUGAACCUGCGGAAGGAUCAUUAUUGAAUUCACUAGUUGGGUUGUUGCUGGUUCCGAAAGGUUCAUGUGCACGCCUGGCUCUUGACUCCUUUCCACCUGUGCACUUUUGUAGUCAGGCUUUGACUGCUAGCCAGUGUCUAAGUAUGCCUCUUUCGGGAGGAUUUGGGGUUUGGAUCCUUGUGGAUCCUUUCCCUGAGGCGCUUGGCCGGCUCAGCUUGGCUAUGUUUUCAUUUACACUGUUGUAUGUUCAGAAAGUCAUGUUUACUGGUCUUUGGACCUUUAAUCUUACACAACUAUUGGCAACGGAUCUCUUGGCUCAC